CCACUUAUCUGUUGACACAAGAACAUACACCUUUAACCACUUAUCUGUUGACACACACGAACAUAUUCCUUUAACCACUUAUCUGUUGACACAAGAACAUACACCUUUAACCACUUAUCUGUUGACACACACGAACAUACACCUUUGACCACUUAUCUGUUGACACACGAACAUACACCUUUAUCCACUUAUCUGUUGACACAGGAAAAUCCUUCCUAUGACACAGUUCCCAGGUAUUUUUAUGACUUUCAAAUUUUCACAGCAAACUGGGAAUACGUUUGUUGGGUUGUUGUUUUUAAGGUUGGCUGGAGGUCUAGUGCCCAUCUGUAUUGUUACAGUAUGUUACCUCACUCACUCACUCAUUCACUGGUGUGGACACGUUGAGCUGUAUAUGUGGAGGUCACAACAGUCAGAGAGGAAGUGUCAAUGUGAAGUGUUUUAUCGUCCACUGGAGAUAUUGCUUGGGUGACAUGAAGCAAUGAAUUGCAACACAGUUGCUUUGGAGACCAUUGUGAUGUCAUUGGUUACCAUGAUGUCACAAUAAAAUGACAUCACUACCGUAAUCACUUUGUCACUGAAUUUGUUCAGCUGUACCUCUUACAAACUUACGGUGAAGUUUUAAACUCUUGUUGAUGUAUUUGAGAAGGAAAAAACAGAGGGUUGGGUUUGUCAAUGUAUCUACGUCACUUGUUGAAUGUAUGGAUUCCUUGACCUAGUCAAAGUAAUGAAUUCACCUUCAAAAUGUGUCGAAUCAAAUAGGUGCCUAGUGGUUAAUAGUCGAUGUUGUUCUCUCUCCGACAGGGUGUUAUUGCUGAAAGAUAUAGACCUUCUGUCACCUGGGUGUGAUUGUGCUGUCAUCAACGGACAACAAACCUCAAUGUUUCAUUCCCAGCCUUGUCUUAUUGUUAGCAUGUCGUAAAUAUAUGUAAACAUCUCAAACUUGUUACCAUGGUUACGUUGUAUUUUCUCUGUACAUAACCUGUAAAUAUCAGUGUUGAUCAUGAACCUAUGUAUUAAGCAGUGACAGAGUAGAUGAAGCGUUGGUCAUGUGUUGACCAUUACCAGCUUGUCAGCUUCAGUGUAUAUUGAAAAUAAAUUAUAUAAACAUUAUGUACAGUAUACAUGCGUAGCACACAGGCCCUGUCAGCUAAUCAGUGAGCUUUCGGACUUAAGCAGUGUCCCUAACAACCAAAAUGACUGAGAACUGCUACGUAGUAUGAAAGAUUAUAAAACAGCUCAGGUCUUCUCCCAUCCUACCACACCCAAGAUGCUCUGCUUCUCCCAUCCUACCACACCCAAGAUGCUCUACUUCUCCCAUCCUACUACACCCAAGAUGCUCUACUUCACCCAUCCUACCACACCCAAGAUGCUCAACUUCUCCCAUCCUACCACACCCAAGAUGCUCUACUUCUCCCAUCCUAACCCCCAAGAUGCUUUACUUCACCCACCCUACCACGCCCAAGAUGCUCUACUUCACCCGUCCUCCAGACACAGGCAUUUUGCAGUUAAGUGCAUUCACAUAAGCAGUUUUAUGGAAGUCUUUUCGAAGUAUAGUUUUUGAUGGGCAUUUAGAAGUUAGAAGAAUGUGAAGACAUGAAAUUUGUGGGUAGCAACUUCUUUAUUGUUUGUAACGUUUCAGGGCUACUUGCUAUUUUAUUAUGAUUUGAAGGGCUGCUUCUCAUCCCUUAAAUAUGUUUGGCAGUGGGGUAGCCUAGUGAUUAUGGAAGACUUGGGUUCGAUAAGCCACUUGGGUAGUUCUCAAAGAAGUUGUUAACUAUUAUGUUUCAUGACUUCCUUGGAAAAAUGUAUUAAAAUAUUUGGGCAAUGAAGACACUAUUGUUGAUGGGGUAUUUUGUGAUGUCUCAGUAGAUGAUGUGAUGAUGUCACAGUAGAUGAUGUGAUGAUGUCACAGUGGAUGAUGUGGUGUCUUGUGAUGUCACAGUACAUGAUGUGAUGAUUUCACAUUGGAUGAUGUGAUGGUGUCUUGUGAUGUCACAGUACAUGAUGUGAUGAUGUCACAGUGGAUGAUGUGAUGGUGUCUUGUGGACAUGUUUAGCUUCUGUGUGCAGAUUCCACAGACAACACUUCUCUGUGACUAUAUGUCAGGAUGCCUGUCAAAUACAAUACUUGUACAGAAUAUCUGUACAAUACACACAGAAAUGUUGUAGUGUCCGUGAACCAUCCUCACUUGGCAGGGGAAUUGGGGGCCCUCCAUGUCACAGUAUUUGGCAUUAUCAGAGCUAUUUUUUCACCAAGGUAGCUAUUAAAUGUUUUUGAAAUGCUUGAAAAUGUAUUACAUAAAGAUGUGUGGUAGUGUCAUGUAGGUAAGAAUUUAUGGACGUCAACUUCUUUAUUUUGAUGGACACGGCCUUUCGGAAUAUAUUCUUACUCCUACGUCAGGUGAAUGAAAGACUAGGAAACAGACAGCUAUAUAUGUACAUGUGUCAUGGUCUUGAAGUCGCUGCCAUUUGGACCCAGCGUGGACCCGCUUUGUGUAUGUCUGAAACUGUGCAAUGAAUAGUCUAUUUGCUAUCUUUCUAUUCAUCGUCAUAGAACUGGGGAGUUCCUCAGAUUAGUCGUCACUUGUUACAGGUAGUCCCAGUCUUUGUUGGUUGACGUGCAGAUAGAGAGGUACUGUACCACUUGGUCAGUCCAUGUUGUCGCCGCCGGUCCUGUUUAUCUUCCUGACAGUCAGAUGUAUGUGCAAUUGUUUCAUUACUGUGAAGCUAUGUCACAACCACAGCCACGCGUGUACUGGCGUGAUUGAUUCCAACGGGGUAAUUAGAAUUAUAGGAGUUCUCUCUAAUGUCCUUGUAAUGCGAGUUCCGGAAAUGUCAGUCUCCUGUAAUAUAUUUGAUAUGUACCAGAUUUUCACAACUAACAUGUUAUAAAGACCGUAUCUACCAAUGCAGUAACAGGAUUGUUUCCAUGCACCUGCCUGGGGACCUGUUUGUUACAUUGACAGUGCCCAUGUCGUACAGUAGCUGACAUACUGUAGCUCACAUCCAUAUUACUUGUAGUUUAGGUACAAGGCCCUGCCUGGCCCACCCACUUUAACCAUAGUUUAGGUACAAGGCCAACCCAUUUUACCCAUAGUUUAGGAACAAGGCCCACCGACUUUUCCCAUAGUUGGGUACAAGGCCCACCCACUUUACCCAUAGUUAGGUGCAAGGCCCAUCCACUUUAACCAUUAAUAGGUGCAAGGCCCAUCCAGUUUAACCAUAAAUAGGUGCAAGGCCCACCCACUUUAACCAUAGUUGGGUACAAGGCCCACCCACUUUAACCAUAGUUGGGUGCAAGGCCCACCCACUUUAACCAUAGUUGGGUGCAAGGCCCACCCACUUUAACCAUAGUUGGGUGCAAGGCCCACCCACUUAAACUUUAGUUAGUUGCAUGGCCCACCCACUUCACUCAUAGUUGGGUGCAAGGACCACCCACUUUACCCGUAGUUGGGUGCAAGGCCCGCUCACUUUACACAUAGUUUAGAUGCAAGACCCACCCACUUUACCCAUAGUUUAGAUGCAAGACCCACCCGCUUUACCCAUAGUUUAGGCACAAGACCCACCCAAUUUACCAAUAGUUUAGAUGGAAGACCCACCCACUUUACCCAUAGUUUAGGUAAAAGGCCCACCCACUUUACCCAUAGUUUAGGUACAAGACCUAGUAUUGAUUAGUUGAUCCUAAUUCUGGAAUCAAUAGUCUUAGUGGUUUCCCUCACCUAACCAUGUUGUGGUUGAGAAAUAGUUUCUCUAUGAUUUUGAUGACCUGUAGUUGUGUCAGUUUACUCAUUUUACAUUCAUGUCCGGAUUGGCCAGUGAAUGCCUGGCUUAGAAUCACCUGUACCAACAAUUGUGGGAAGUCACCUUAAUGGUUUGUGUUCCCAAUAGUCAGAGUGUUAAGAUUGUUAUUGACAAAAUGUUCCCCUAAACACUGGUUAAAUGCAAUGUACCUUUGGUGACAGGUAGAAACAUUGAUUUUUGGAAAUUUAUGUUACAAGUUAGAUAUUGUAAAUGGAAAUAAGCAGUGAGUUUGUGUGAGUGAGUGAGUUUGCAUGUCCUUUUUUUCUUGAUUCAACUCCAUAGUCAGCAUCUGUAGAGCGCAGCAUCAGUCGGCUCUAGUUUUAUUAGACUAACAUUUGAUGCAAAGUGAAAUAUUUGUAAAAUCUCAGUAUCUAUAUAUGUAUUUUUGUUGAUUUGUUGUGUCACACACCUAUGUCUCUAUGCAUCUGGAGAAGUGCUAUAAGCUGCUAGCGGCUAUUGUCUCACAGCCUGCAAACCUGCAUUUUGAAUGAACUAGCUUGGGUUCGGGCUAUAAGCUGUGUUGUCUAUAAGGGGAUUUAAUAUGUAGCUAGUCUUUGUUGGCUGACUUGUUGUUAGUGUUUCAACUUUAGCAUGUACAUUGUCAUAUUUCAGCAUUGUUAACUAUUUCUUUGGAGUCCUUUGAGAAUUGAGGAAACUGUUAAUAGUUCAUCACUUAUAUAUCCACUAUAUGUCAGUUGUCCAGGUUCCCAGAAACUACACGUUUAGCCUUGGAGGAUUGGAAGAUGUGUGCGAACAUGUUGGAGAUUGUAGGAGUGCUUCCAGCAGUGCUGGCAUCACACUUGGGAACAGGCAUUUGGUGAUGGACACUGAACGAGAGCCAGUACAAUCAUCUGUGUAUACUCUCUUUCUGCGUGUACUCUCCGUGACUUUCAGAUAUAUUUUGAACAGGGUUGUAUGAAGAUGACAUUGCAUAUAAUUGAUGAGACUUGUACAUAUAAUGUUGUUGAUUAUGAGUGUAUAUCUGACUACUUCUAUACUUGUGACAGGGAGCCAGAAGUAUUUCAUACUAUAUACAGGUUCAUAGUAUCAGUAAUCACUGAGGGGCACCAUGGCAUGAAACCAGUGUCACUCUCAGUCAUAGACAAGUAUACAUUGAAUCACAGGAAACUUUUGACCUCAUGGUAUUGUGUCACAGACUCAAAUCAUUAAUCCCCAUAUUCACUUAAUGUAUAGUGCAUGCAAUAUAUCACAAUUUUCAAUUCCUUCAAUGUAAUUGAAAACAUACUAAAAAAUUCAUAACAUAUGUUUCUAUAUAUUCAGGGUUUGGAUAGUAUUAUCCUCAACACUAGCUCUGUGCGAGAGGCAGAAGUCUUUUGUUUGUGUACAAAGGUAUUGACUAAGUGUGUGAAUGUUUCCAACUAGGGAUGGGAGAUGUCAAUCCUUGCUGUCAGUAGCUAGUUGUGGGGAAAACAGCAUCAGCCAACAGACUUGCAUGUCUAGUAGCUUUCCCACCCUCUGUUUUGCCUGACUUGACGAAGAAAUAAAAGUAUGAAUUUGU